rnacentral:rRNA from 1 species
AUGGGCGCAAGCCUGAUGCAGCCAUGCCGCGUGUGUGAAGAAGGCCUUCGGGUUGUAAAGCACUUUCAGUCGUGAGGAAGGUAGUGUAGUUAAUAGCUGCAUUAUUUGACGUUAGCGACAGAAGAAGCACCGGCUAACUCCGUGCCAGCAGCCGCGGUAAUACGGAGGGUGCGAGCGUUAAUCGGAAUUACUGGGCGUAAAGCGCAUGCAGGUGGUUUGUUAAGUCAGAUGUGAAAGCCCGGGGCUCAACCUCGGAAUAGCAUUUGAAACUGGCAGACUAGAGUACUGUAGAGGGGGGUAGAAUUUCAGGUGUAGCGGUGAAAUGCGUCCAGAUCU